AUUGAACGCUGGCGGCAGGCCUAACACAUGCAAGUCGAACGGUAACAGGAAGAAGCUUGCUUCUUUGCUGACGAGUGGCGGACGGGUGAGUAAUGUCUGGGAAACUGCCUGAUGGAGGGGGAUAACUACUGGAAACGGUAGCUAAUACCGCAUAACGUCGCAAGACCAAAGAGGGGGACCUUCUGGCCUCUUGCCAUCGGAUGUGCCCAGAUGGGAUUAGCUAGUAGGUGGGGUAACGGCUCACCUAGGCGACGAUCCCUAGCUGGUCUGAGAGGAUGACCAGCCACACUGGAACUGAGACACGGUCCAGACUCCUACGGGAGGCAGCAGUGGGGAAUAUUGCACAAUGGGCGCAAGCCUGAUGCAGCCAUGCCGCGUGUAUGAAGAAGGCCUUCGGGUUGUAAAGUACUUUCAGCGGGGAGGAAGGGAGUAAAGUUAAUACCUUUGCUCAUUGACGUUACCCGCAGAAGAAGCACCGGCUAACUCCGUG
rnacentral:rRNA from 1 species